rnacentral:rRNA from 1 species
GACGAACGCUGGCGGUGUGCUUAACACAUGCAAGUCGAACGGAAAGGCCCUGCUGUUGUGCUGUGCUCGAGGGGCGAACGGGUGCGUAACAGGUGAGCAACCUGCCCUUGUCUUUGGGGUAGCUUCACGAAAGGGGAGCUAAUACCGGAUAGGAGCUCCUCUUCCGUGGAGAGCGGGGGAAAUUCCAGGCGGGUGGGGAUGGAGUCGCGGCUUAAGAGCUUGUUGGUUGGGGAGUGGCAUACCAAGGCUGUGGCCGGUACGCGGCCUGAGAGGGUGACCGGGCACCAGGGGACUGAGGGACGGCCCAGACUCCUACGGGGGGCAAGAGUGGGGAAUAUUGCACAAUGGGCGGGAGCCUGAUGCAGGAACGCCGGGUGCGGGAAGACGGCCUUCGGGUUGUAAAAAGCUUCCGCCUGUGACUACGCGUGAGUGACGGUAAUCGAUGAAGAAGCACCGGCUAACUACGUG